AUGGGCCAGAUGGUGAUCAGCUUUGUAGUGAAGGGUGUUUGAACUUACCUUGUUUUACAGACAACGGAUCAUGUACAACGGGAAACAACAGGACGUCUAUAGAGGAACUAGACAGUAAUUCUACAGAUGACAAACCUGCUUCUGAAAUCAGCCUAACAUCAGAGAACUGUUCCAAACCAGAGAUAUGUUUAGCUCUGUAUGGAGUCAUUAUUAUCUUCCUCUUAAGUAUUCUUACAAACAUCUUUUUGAUCGCGAGAAAAUGUAGACAAAACGUUUCUUCUGUCGACGAAGAGCAGGACACAAUUCAACGGAAUUCAACAUUAUAUACAAACACUACAGGUAUAUACGACAGAGUGGAAGAUAACGCAGAAUAUCAAAAUCUUGGACAAUUAAGUCAACCUUCUCAUUACGAGGAACUCAUGAUCAAGUGAAUAUACGUCUAGAUUUGACAACCUUUUAAACUGAUAUAGUUGUCUGAACAUUUCAGAUUUUAACUAAAAUAUAUAGUGAUUUUUGUUUUUGGUGAAAAAAAUCAUUCUUUCUAUACAAAAAAUAUGCGAGUUUCAGGAUAUACUUUAUCUUGCUGAUAUUGAGCUCUGCAAACCAUUUAUUUUACUUUGACUCUGUAGAAAAUGUUUCUUUACUCGCAAAAAUUAAUCAUUGCAGAUUGAUGUCAACUCGAUGAAUAGUCAAAGAAAGAUACCUAGAAUAAUAGUUGGUUUACAAUACAUUGUUGAGAACAGGUUGAACGCUCGAUCCCUAAAACCUUUAAGGAGGAAAUUGACACUAA